CUUACAAUGUUUUUUAAUUAUCUAUAAAUUUUAAAAAUUUUAAAAAUAUAAUAAAAAAUUAUAUUACUUGUAAAAUGAUAAAAAGUAAAAGUGAUUCAGAAACAGCUAGGUGAAGUCUGUAAACUUGGACAAGAUGUUUCAGGAAGAAAGAUGUUUCUCCCACUUCCCAGAGAACUGUUCCCCUUCCCGUUCUGUGUAGCAGGCAACGAUCGAAAUUCCAAGACGAAGUUUGCGAGAUUCCAAGGAAAGCACACCAGUCAGCAUGGUCGAGUACUGUCCCUCCUUUGAUGGUACGCCAGAGCAAAAAAAGAAACCGGUCGAGUCGGUACUUACGAAGAGGUUUAGCUUUCAGGGUUCGCGUAUGUAGUUCGAAAAGAAGUUACAACCGUUCUCUCCAACAAAGUCAAAGAACUUUGUUGUAUGGUUUUCUUUGAAGCAAAAUUCAAAUAUAACCGAAAAACAAGUUUUAUACUUAACUGGUUCAAUUGAAAUUAUAAAUGGCUUUGUUAAUUGU